ensembl:lncRNA
UUUUUUUUUCCUUUUUGGUAUGUCUGCAAAUAAUACAUUUUUGAUAAAGAAACCCUUUAAUCUGAAUAAAUGAAAAAUCAGAUUGGUUAUAAUCAUCAUUCUAUUUUCUCUUUUAAACACUGCCUUUGGGAGUUCAAGAGCUAUCCUUAUAUGCCAUGUACAGGUGGUGAGCAAAUAAAUGCAACAUACAAUCAGGUAAAGAUCAUCUUGAGGCAUGUUUGAAGAAUUGUCAUCAUGUUUAUGCUCCUCAUUCAUUUCAUAUAUUAUAACAUCAAUUUUCCUUUUCCAUUUUAUCAGAUCUAUUAUAGUAGCAAAGUAAACAAAAUAGAACCAUGAACAAAAAGACCUGAACUCCAUACAGCAGUCAAAAUUGCAGGACUAUUCUCUGGGUGGCCAUAGACCAACCCAGUUCUCCCCUUUCUCAACUGUGGUUCUCGAGACCACCUGGAAACUGUGCUAAGAUUGCAACAACCUUAAAUAAGGAGGAACUGGCUGGAAUAGUCCAGGCUCUGUUCCAGCCUCCCCCCAACCCCGAAAGAUAGUAUGUCCUUCAACACUUUAUCCUAGUGAUUCCAAUAGCCCCAAAGUAUAAAACUGAGAGCAGGCUGCUUUCUGGGGUCCCUCAGCUGUGGUACAGGUGGGGCAUGAGCAGAUGAGACUAGCGGCCCGAGACAGUUUUCCUGAGCCUGGGGACACUGGCUCAAAAUACAUCCUAGGCUUCUGUGGUUUCCUGCUGCCUGUCUGCAAAUAAUAAGCCCACUUCAUGUCUUGUGUGUGAGUGUUCUGUCUCACUGGACACAGACAAGUUGGUAACCAGCGCCCAGUGAACCUGCUUCACAAAAAUCAUCCCAAUGGUUAACUUACGAGGAGUCAAAAUUCAAGUAGCCUGUCAGGACCAUGCUUACAAAUGUUACGACCAACCAACUCAACCACUAGCUUACUCAUUUGAUCCAUGCCAAUGGCUCCAUUGAGCCUCUCAGUCAUAGUUAGAGACAUAUGGAUUUGAAAAUAUUAAAGUUACUGGUUGGGAAAUGCCUCUCUCCACCCCUCCUUUGUGUCAUCUGCACCCAAGGGCUUCCAAGAGCUCCUCCCCACCAGCCACACCCAGUCUUCUCCUCUCUGAGCUUUGCCCAUGAAUUCUCCAUCUAGACGCUUCAGGACCAUGAGCAGAUGCUUGCAGACAGGUGAGUCAAGGUGGGGCUGGGAUGACCUACUGGAGCUACAGAGGAUCGAGUCAGAGAGGGAGAACUAAUGGUGCCUGGGUCCCUGCUGCACCAUAGGCACAAUGCCAGUGACUCAGGCCUUUUGUCUCUUCGAGACCUUCUAAUAGCCACUUCUGUGAGGCAGGGGUCGUUAUACCCACUCACAGAUGAGUAACCUGAAAUUCAGAGCAGUUAAGGAAUUUACAAGGUCACAACUAUCCAAGUUUUGUUUUAAAAUUUUUUUGAGGAAUGAAAAUGUAGUUAUUCAAAUACUAUUAUAAGUGUGUCUCUAUGUCUGAAUGUAUUCACAGUUCCUAAGUUCAGACAAGGAGCAACUGGGGAGUGAGGGACAUGUGCGAGUGAGUGUCUGUGUGUGCACAUGUGUGUGCGAGUGUGUAUAUGAUAUUUGGGAUUAGGUUAGCAUUGGUCUCAGAUGGAGAAAUAUAAAAUGUAUCAGGUGGUUAUCUUUGGGUUAUAGAAGAAGCAGUAUUUAGGGAUUUUGUCCUGCUCCAUGCAUCUCUCUAUUUUCUCUCUAAUGCUCAUACAUUAUUUUUAACAAUCAGAAAUGGGUGUCUGUGGUUUUUUUUCCUUAGAUGCAGGCAACAUAUAUUGAUUUGAUUACUAUCCACUCCCUAUCUGUAGAGUGAGAGACUGAUUGCAUACUGGUCUGUCAGGC